CAGUGAGGAGCGGGCAGGGGCAGGGCUGAGGUGCUGUGGCGGGGAUAGCUGGUACUGGAGCGGGUCCAGAGAAAGGCAACGGAGCCGGUGCAGGGCCUGGAGCACAAGUGUAGGCUGAAGUCCCGCUCCCUAUAAAACUGAAGCAGAAAUGGACAUAGACAAAUAGCAUCCCAUCGUGACUACCACCAUUUGGGUGCAUCUUGGUUUGUUGAAAAAAUAUGUUCAGUAUAUCAUGAAAAUUAAUGGUGCACGCAAUGGUAAGGACUCCAUGUGCUCAUCCAGACUUGGAGCAGCAAAACCCUGUGAUAAGACGCAGAGGUGCCGUCCAAAAGAGCUUUUCCAGUGACCAUUAUAUCACCUUCCCAAAUUACACAAGCUGGAAUAGUGAGGAUAGGCUUCUGUAAGACUUGCUGUAGCUCAGCCAGAUUCACAGCACAGAUAAGCUGGCUGGAGAGCUGAUUAUUUUUAACACUGCUAGUGAAGUUAUUCUAGUAGACAUCUAAAGCCAUAAUGAAACCUUACUGACAUUCAUACUCACUGCUUUCAAGUAAAACUCAUCUUUACAGAACCCCAACCUCUACAUAAAGCUGUAUUUUUACUGCAGAUAAACAUAUAAGUAUUAAAGAGUAGGAAUGUAUGAAGUUCUAAGAGGGACACUGAAUCCUUUUCUCCCAAGAGCAGAAUCUCUAGCUGCUAAGAGAUAAUUCAGGUCAAAACUGACUAUCAGCUUUUCUUCAUCUGCGGCAUGUGGAUAAGAAAGUCCUGUAUAGAUUCUGCAAUCCUCAAGCUCUUGAUGCUCAUUAAGUACUGUACCGGUAAUUAGAAUUCUUAUGACUCUCAAAGGGCUAAACCAGAAGAUUAAAAGAACUUUCUUUUCCUGUGAGAGGAUAUGUUUUAUACUUGGAUAACUAGGAUAGAUGAUGAUUGCUGAUGGAGAGAUGAUAGAGAGGCUAGAAGUGUUUAUUGCUGGCUUUGCAUUUCUUGAGCAAUGACACAUACGUCAUUGUAAAACCUAGGGAAAGAAUAUAGAUGUGGGACUGAAAAUCAGGAAGUCUGAAUCCUUGACCAAUCUGCCUGGCCUUGGAUAAGUAUCUUAAGCUCUCUGUACCUCAUUCUAGCAUAUAUAACUAAAGGUAGUAUUUCCCCUACUAUUGGAGGUGCUAUAGCCUGAUUAUAUUAAUGUGUAAAAUGUUUUAAACUGCUAUGGUGAAAGAGUUUGUGCUCAUAUUUAUAUGCAGAUAAAUGAAGGCAAGCUCUAUAUUUUAUGAAAAAAUUAAACUAUACCUCAGACAAACCAGGGAAGUUCUGGAUUGUCAUUGGAGUCAGUCAGGUUUUGCAUUUGAUGAAGGGGAACGCCAGUGAGAAUCGAAGGUGGAAUCAGAGCCACAUUUAACACUUGGUAGUUACUAAUGUGCUUUUCAUUUUGUUUGACAUUUUAAUUAUGUUACAACAUAUAUAUACAUUUGAAUAAUAUAUAUACUGUAUAUCUGUAAUUGCUUUACACCCUAGGUGUAUGACUAUGUGUGAUAAAUGAGAGAACUGUAACACUGUGACUGAUAGCUACACAGAUGACUCAGCUUUACCAGGAGAUGUUUCUAAGAAAAGGUCAAUGCCAUUCCUGAACAAAACCUUAACAUUUUCUAGAAACUUCAUAUAAAUAGUCAAUGACCUCUUUGUGUGAAGAGGAAUACAAAAUAUUGCAAGACCCCAUUUCAUUUAUUAAGGCAUCAUAAACUUGCCAUAUACACCAUUACACCAUACAGAAUGCAGGAGGAAAUAGAUCUCUGAGUAAUUACUGAAGGGAAGAAUCACAAGCAUGUGUUGUUGCUGCAGGAGCCUACACUAUGUCAUCUAUCCAGUAGGACCAGGUGGAGACAUGAUAACCUUGGAGAAGUAAGUAUUGAUCUUUGAAUACUAACAGAAGUCCCAGAAAGCAGAAAAAGUAUUUGGGCUUCUAAUUUGCUACUGUUUGCACAUGUCAGUGAAAUCUGAACCAGUUAACACAAUCAAUUUAAGAUGGAAUCAAUACCCUUUAUUCUUAUGCCAGUCCUGGGCAAAAGUGUAUGUCUGUACUUAAUAUGACCUUUGAUCCUGUCUCUUAUGGUUUCCCCAUAACUAUCUAAGGAAAAAGGGUACAGUUACAACACCUCCACAGUCCCAAAUAGUUGGGAAGGUUUUUUCACAGAGUGGUUACUAAUGGUUAACUCCUGAGUUAGUCUUUACCGAUGGCCCCAAUAAUGGAAUAACAAGUGUACUUAUUGAGUUAGAAGGGCCUGAGAGCCCACUGGGUGUCAGGAUUCCAUUAUCAGAUUAUUGUGGCAAAUUGAAGAAGUUAUUUGAAAUGAAUGAAAUUACUGGCAAGAGGAAUGAUCGUCCUCAUCAGUGUUAGCUCAGGAACAGCUGGAUAAUCAGGAAUUCUGGGGUAAUCCCAGAUCAUAAAUUGAUCAAGCAACCAGGAACAAAUCAGUCAAAUAAUCCAGUUAUACUAAAAUGAAUUCACAGGAGCAUUAUACAGGAGACCUAUGCAGUAAUCCUUUUACUGUGAGUAAGACCUCAGUGGGAAUGCUAUAUUCAGUUUGAUACAACCAUUUCAAUAACUACCAACUGAAAAACAGGCCUGUUUUUAUUCAGUAUAAUCUGAA